rnacentral:rRNA from 1 species
CCCUUAGAUGUUCUGGGCUGCACGCGUGCUACACUGAUAUUGCCAAUAUGUCAUUCUUAUCCGAAAUGGAUUGGGUAAUCAAGUAAUGAAAUUUCAUGCUUGGAAUCGGUAAUUGCAAUUUUAUCGUGAACGAGGAAUUCCUAGUAAGCACUAGUCAUCAGCUAAUGUUGAUUAUGUCCCUGCCCUUUGUACACACCGCCCGUCGCUACUACUGAUUGGGUGUUCAAGUGAGAUGCUUAGACCCUUGUUGCAUGGUUCAUUAUUGUGCACCGAAAGGAAAAAGUUUCAAGCUUGAGUGUCUAGAGGAAGUAAAAGUCGUAACA